GAUGAACGCAGCGGCAGGCUUAAUACAUGCAAGUCGAGGGGCAGCGCGGGUAGCAAUACCUGGCGGCGACCGGCAAAACGGGUGCGGAACACGUACGCAAACCUUCCCAAAAACUGGUGAAUAGCCCUCCGAAAGGAGGAUUAAUACACCGUACCAUAAUGAAGAGGCAUCUCUUUGUUAUUAUAGCCGCAAGGCGGUUUUGGAUGGGCGUGCGCCUGAUUAGGUAGUUGGCGGGGUAACGGCCCACCAAGCCUGCGAUCAGUAACUGGUGUGAGAGCACGACCAGUCACACGGGCACUGAGACACGGGCCCGACUCCUACGGGAGGCAGCAGUAAGGAAUAUUGGUCAAUGGACGCAAGUCUGAACCAGCCAUGCCGCGUGAAGGAUGACGGCCCUCUGGGUUGUAAACUUCUUUUAUCUGGGACGAAAAAAGGGCUUUCUAGCUCACUUGACGGUACCAGAGGAAUAAGCACCGGCUAACUCCGUG
rnacentral:rRNA from 1 species